rnacentral:tRNA from 1 species
CGGGCUAUAGCGCAGUUGGUAGCGCGCCACGUUCGGGACGUGGAGGUCGUGGGUUCAAGUCCCGCUAGCCCGACCA